rnacentral:misc_RNA from 1 species
CACAACCAAUGCCAAUGCAGCAAUGCGACUUGCCUCACCGAGAGUGUGGUGGAAUGCAGAUUAUAGAGUGGAGGUGAGGAGCCUCUUGGAGCCAGAGACGCGACGCGAGUCGCAGGUCUUGUCCAAGAAUCUCUCUACCCAACACAAUCAAUCACACAAUCACCGGUCUCAAAUCAGGCAGGACUACCCGCUGAACUUAA